rnacentral:rRNA from 1 species
AUGAACGCUGGCGGCGUGCUUAACACAUGCAAGUCGAACGAAGCACUUUAUUUGAUUUCCUUCGGGACUGAUUAUUUUGUGACUGAGUGGCGGACGGGUGAGUAACGCGUGGGUAACCUGCCUUGUACAGGGGGAUAACAGUUGGAAACGGCUGCUAAUACCGCAUAAGCGCACGGCAUCGCAUGAUGCAGUGUGAAAAACUCCGGUGGUAUAAGAUGGACCCGCGUUGGAUUAGCUAGUUGGUGAGGUAACGGCCCACCAAGGCGACGAUCCAUAGCCGACCUGAGAGGGUGACCGGCCACAUUGGGACUGAGACACGGCCCAAACUCCUACGGGAGGCAGCAGUGGGGAAUAUUGCACAAUGGGCGAAAGCCUGAUGCAGCGACGCCGCGUGAGCGAAGAAGUAUUUCGGUAUGUAAAGCUCUAUCAGCAGGGAAGAUAAUGACGGUACCUGACGAAGAAGCACCGGCUAAAUACGUG